GGGAAUAGAAGGUGGAUCAGUUUGCUGAGUUGGCUCCUUUUUUUUCUUGCUCUUAUUUUUCUUCUUCUUCUUCUUAUCACUGAUGCUGUUUCGCCUCUCCGUUGCCUCCUUUUUCUUCUUCUCGUUGCCCCUUUCUUCCUGCUCCUCCAUGGCUCCUCCUUUUUCUUCUUCUUCAUAGAGGCUUUACUCCGCUUGCAUGUUCCCCUCCCUCUUGCUCCUCCGCUGCUUCAUUGCUUAUGCUUUUGCCCUCUAAAAGAAGUCUUCCACUGGUCAUUUCCACUUUCCAUCUCACCAUCGCAGUCUCUACCAUUGAAGUUCACUUUUGUCUUACUCCACUGCUUCUGACGCCAGGCGCUAGGCAUUAUCUAUUUAUGGGUUUGUGUUGUAAUUGAUUUUUGUUGUGGAUUUGUGGUUCUAAUUGAAAGGAUAAAUGGAUUUGUGACUGUGGAUAUUGGAUUUGUGGAUUUGUGGUUUCAGUUCUCUAAUUGUGGAUUUUUGUAAUUUGUUUUGUUUAUGUGAUUUCUUAUACAUGUGUUUUCGCAUUUGUUCUUGCAUUUUGGAUUGUGCUUUUG
rnacentral:misc_RNA from 1 species